GAUGAACGCUGGCGGCGUGCCUAAUACAUGCAAGUCGAGCGAACGGACGAGAAGCUUGCUUUUCUGAUGUUAGCGGCGGACGGGUGAGUAACACGUGGAUAACCUACCUAUAAGACUGGGAUCACUUCGGGAAACCGGAGCUAAUACCGGAUAAUAUUUUGAACCGCAUGGUUCAAAAGUGAAAGACGGUCUUGCUGUCACUUAUAGAUGGAUCCGCGCUGCAUUAGCUAGUUGGUCAGGUAACGGCUUACCAAGGCAACGAUGCAUAGCCGACCUGAGAGGGUGAGCGGCCACACUGGAACUGAGACACGGUCCAGACUCCUACGGGAGGCAGCAGUAGGGAAUCUUCCGCAAUGGGCGAAAGCCUGACGGAGCAACGCCGCGUGAGUGAUGAAGGUCUUCGGAUCGUAAAACUCUGUUAUUAGGGAAGAACAUAUGUGUAAGUAACUGUGCACAUCUUGACGGUACCGAAUCAGAAAGCAACGGCUAACUACGUG
rnacentral:rRNA from 1 species